rnacentral:rRNA from 1 species
AGUCGAACGAUGAAACCGCUUCGGUGGUGGAUUAGUGGCGAACGGGUGAGUAACACGUGGGCAAUCUGCCCUUCACUCUGGGACAAGCCCUGGAAACGGGGUCUAAUACCGGAUAAUACUCCUGCCUGCAUGGGUGGGGGUUGAAAGCUCCGGCGGUGAAGGAUGAGCCCGCGGCCUAUCAGCUUGUUGGUGGGGUAAUGGCCUACCAAGGCGACGACGGGUAGCCGGCCUGAGAGGGCGACCGGCUAUACUGGGACUGAGACACGGCCCAGACUCCUACGGGAGGCAGCAGUGGGGAAUAUUGCACAAUGGGCGAAAGCCUGAUGCAGCGACGCCGCGUGAGGGAUGACGGCCUUCGGGUUGUAAACCUCUUUCAGCAGGGAAGAAGCGCAAGUGACGGUACCUGCAGAAGAAGCGCCGGCUAACUACGUGCCAGCAGCCGCGGGUAAUUCA